rnacentral:rRNA from 1 species
UAGUGAUUACUCCUACGGGAGGCAGCAGUAGGGAAUCUUCCGCAAUGGACGAAAGUCUGACGGAGCAACGCCGCGUGAGUGAUGAAGGCUUUCGGGUCGUAAAACUCUGUUGUUAGGGAAGAACAAGUGCUAGUUGAAUAAGCUGGCACCUUGACGGUACCUAACCAGAAAGCCACGGCUAACUACGUGCCAGCAGCCGCGGUAAUACGUAGGUGGCAAGCGUUAUCCGGAAUUAUUGGGCGUAAAGCGCGCGCAGGUGGUUUCUUAAGUCUGAUGUGAAAGCCCACGGCUCAACCGUGGAGGGUCAUUGGAAACUGGGAGAUUUGAGUGCAGAAGAGGAAAGUGGAAUUCCAUGUGUAGCGGUGAAAUGCGUAGAGAUAUGGAGGAACACCAGUGGCGAAGGCGACUUUCUGGUCUGUAACUGACACUGAGGCGCGAAAGCGUGGGGAGCAAACAGGAUUAGAUACCCUGGUAGUC